GAUGAACGCUGGCGGCGUGCCUAAUACAUGCAAGUCGAGCGAACGGACGAGAAGCUUGCUUCUCUGAUGUUAGCGGCGGACGGGUGAGUAACACGUGGAUAACCUACCUAUAAGACUGGGAUAACUUCGGGAAACCGGAGCUAAUACCGGAUGAUAUUUUGAACCGCAUGGUUCAAAAGUGAAAGACGGUCUUGCCGUCACUUAUAGAUGGAUCCGCGCUGCAUUAGCUAGUUGGUAAGGUAACGGCUUACCAAGGCAACGAUGCAUAGCCGACCUGAGAGGGUGAUCGGCCACACUGGAACUGAGACACGGUCCAGACUCCUACGGGAGGCAGCAGUAGGGAAUCUUCCGCAAAGGGCGAAAGCCUGACGGAGCCACGCCGCGUGAGUGAUGAAGGUCUUCGGAUCGUAAAACUCUGUUAUUAGGGAAGAACAUAUGUGUAAGUAACUGUGCACAUCUUGACGGUACCUAAUCAGAAAGCCACGGCUAACUACGUG
rnacentral:rRNA from 1 species